CCCUUAGAUGUUCUGGGCUGCACACGUGCUACACUGGCAGGUUCAGCGAGCUUCAUGCCCUGAUCUGAAAGGAAUGGGAAAUCUUUUCAAAACCUGCCGUGCUUGGGAUAGAUGUUUGCAAUUAUUCAUCUUCAACGAGGAUUGCCUUGUAAGCGCACGUCAUCAGCGUGCAUUGAAUACGACCCUGUAUUCUGUACACACCGCCCGUCGCUCCAACCGAUUGAAGUUUUCGGUGAGUUGACAGGAGGAUUUUUUUGAAACUGGUUCGCCAGUGGAUUUUAGAUCCAAAUGCCAACGAAUCGAUGGCUUUAGAGGAAGGAGAAGUCGUAACA
rnacentral:rRNA from 1 species